GGGGAGACAUGAUUCCUCUCUGCUAACAAUGUGAUAAAUAUAUACAAACAAGUAAUCAGCAUUUGUUAUGAACAAUAAACCUUAUUAUUAUCAACCAACAACUUCAAUGAAUUUAUUUGAUGCCCAUCUCUUAGCCACAUCAGAAACCUUAUUUUCCUCAACCUGUAACAGUCUCAACUUUGGUGAAUUCAACACAAAUAACUCAACACCCUGUGCCUCAAUCCCACAACAAUACAUUGCAUCAACACUUUGUAAUUUCUUGCAACACUUAGCCAAUGAAACCAUAGAUAAAUUUGU
rnacentral:misc_RNA from 1 species